rnacentral:rRNA from 1 species
AGUGAACGCUGGCGGUAGGCCUAACACAUGCAAGUCGAGCGGCAGCACAGUAAGAGCUUGCUCUUACGGGUGGCGAGUGGCGGACGGGUGAGGAAUACAUCGGAAUCUACUUUUUCGUGGGGGAUAACGUAGGGAAACUUACGCUAAUACCGCAUACGACCUACGGGUGAAAGCAGGGGAUCUUCGGACCUUGCGCGAUUGAAUGAGCCGAUGUCGGAUUAGCUAGUUGGCGGGGUAAAGGCCCACCAAGGCGACGAUCCGUAGCUGGUCUGAGAGGAUGAUCAGCCACACUGGAACUGAGACACGGUCCAGACUCCUACGGGAGGCCGCAGUGGGGAAUAUUGGACAAUGGGCGCAAGCCUGAUCCAGCCAUACCGCGUGGGUGAAGAAGGCCUUCGGGUUGUAGAGCCCUUUUGUUGGGAAAGAAAAGCAGCAGGUUAAUACCGCGCUGUUCUGACGGUACCCAAAGAAUAAGCACCGGCUAACUUCGUG